CCGGGGCAGGUGCUGCGGUGACGGCUCGCAGGCCGGCGCGGCGGCGAGAAUCAGGAAGGGUGGUGGCGGAAAUCAGGUAGCCGGUCCAUGUCCACUCCGAUUUAGCUUCCUUCCCCAUCCGAUUUGGCCUCCUUCCUCUCCAAUUUUGCAAGGUGAGAAGAACUGUGCUGCAUAUGCUCAUGUUUACUCCAAUUUGACCAGGGGAUCUGCUGUUCAUUUAAUAUGAUUAGAGAAGAGCACACAUACACGAGAGAUGUACAUAUAUUAUCAUGAAUUAGUAGUUAUUACUUUAGGUGAAUCAUGUCUUGCCUUUUCUGAUUCUAGCCUGAAUUAAGUGUGAUAUACGGGUCGCUGUCACCGUCUCCCCAUUCCAGGACUGCCGCACCGUCACCCCAAGGCUCAAAGCUGCACUAGCGAGAUGGUGUUGGUUGGCUCAUCCGCUGCUACCACAUCGGCGUCGAUACCUACUCCUUCCAAUAUGGCCGUGGUUUUCGUCUGCAUUCUCUCUAAUAUAUCCUACAUAUAUUGUUUAGAUUGAUUCAUGGGUUAAUUAAAUUCAAUCAUGCCUUGUUCUGUUCGUUUGCAGGCGAUGAGGUGAGCCUACCAUUUUCUUCCUGCUGCUCUUCCAUACACGAAUAUUUGGGAUGGUAUAACAUAGCUCCAAUUCAAUAUACAGUAAUUUUGAUGAUAUUUAUGUCUGACCAUAUGGGAGUAUGAAGACUCUAAAAUAGUUUUUCCUGCUGAGCUACUUGAAGACCAAAGCAAUUGCACAUGGAACAUUUCGUAUAUGUACUUAACCUUGUCUAAUUUCAUUUGUCACAAUAGACUGUACUGUUCUAGAAUUUCCAUUUUAUAUCACAUGGGUGGGGUUCUUUCAGCAGUAUCAUGCCCUCUUAAGUGCGUCAGAUGUCUGGCUACUGGAAUAAUGUAUAUUUUGCCUUACCAGGUUAUCCUGUAUGUCGGUGAUAAGGUGCAUCAUCAUCCUCUCUGGAGAAUGGUGCAUGAAGAUAUCUACAAAUCUUCCUGCAUGAUCUGAUUCAAAUUUAUGUUUAUUUAAGUUUGCAUACUUUAUUUUCGAAUCUCCCUCAAUCGGGUAGCGCAUGCUAGCUAUUACAUAUGUUGUUCUUACAUUUCUCGGAAUAGCUUUGUUUUACUUGCCUUAGAUCAUUAUUUAUUAUAGUACUUUUAUAGUUAUUUUUGUGCACGGUCUAUAACUUCCUUUAUUUUUUAAUCAAUGCAGCUAUGAAUUACCAUUUUAUGUGAUCCUGACAAGUUAUGACACAGCCUUAAUAAAUCAAGACUUAUCUUUCAGAAAUUCUCUGGCUCCAUGGUGAUUUAUGAGGCCAAGGGUCUUAAAAAGCCAUCAAUUGUAUUAUAUAGUGUCCUCAAAGGCAAUUUUACGAUGACAAGGUGUCUACCACUAGAAGGCAUUCCUAUGCGGAACAAACUUUCUGAACUAUGGGUGUAGAUGCCCUUCUACAUGAUAUGAGUUUCCGGGCCACUAGAUGAGCUUCUUUCUAUUUGCAAGGGAGCGGGUGAUUUGCGAGCAAGUAGGUUGUUCAGUGUGGUGAUGAUUGCGAGCAAAGAGGAAGGGGACGAGGAGGUGAAGAUGAGGGUGGUGGGUGCUCGUCGAUUGUGCCUACCUGUCACCGGUUGGUCUGAGUGGAACUACUGCUGCAAUAUGCAAGCAACAAAGCCAUGCAUAUGAUUGAAAUCAUAUUAAGAUAAAGCAAGGAAGGCUAGAAGAUGCUCUUCGACAACACUGCGCCCUUCUUGGUCACGAGGUGGAGGCGGUGAAGCUGCUCAUACGGGGCGCGUUAGAGCCCUGGUUGCGGCCAAGCAUGGCGAAGAGGGCCUCGGGCGUAGAUGCAGAGCUCAUAAUGGUUGGCCAUGUAUAGAGUGCGAGGGAUGCAUAAGUGUUGUCGGGUCUACCCAAGUUAACACCAAACGCAGGCUUUUCACACAACGAAUGGAAUAGGAAAGCUCUUCCGGAUGGUGAUUUAUUCAUGUGCCUUCCUCUUGUAAUUGGUCAACACAUCCAAGAUUUUUGUCAUGGCAAUUCCUACAUAUGUAUGGCAUCUUCUAAUAAAUUAUCUAAAUUCAGAGCCUAACAAAUAUCCAUACCCUUUGUAUGCAUGUGUCUAAUAGAGUACUACAUAUUACAAGAAUAGGAGGCAGUACACGACUUGUGUAAUCAUGUUCAUGUCUAUUGUCUUAUUAAAUUCGAAUUCCAAGGUUUCUUUGUAGUUUCAAAGAACAAGGACCAUCGAUAUGAACUCUCUUUAUCUGCAUAUACUCUUUAUUGAUGUGUUCUUCCAUGAAGGUUAUCAUGUGAACAAGAGCAAUACCAAGAGCUGCUCCAUUUGGUAUGACUAGAAGUCAAAAUUGAUCUCUAUUAAGUUUUCAAAAUUUUCAUAUGAAGGUAAUAAUAAAAACUAGAAUGAUUCAACGCUUGAUUGUGGACUUGUAAAUCUGCCACAUUAUGGCUUUUGAUAUUUUAUCUUCUGUACAGCAAACGUACACUAUGUAAUCUUGGUUGACGGUUAAAUGUUUGUAAAUCAUGUAAUAUGUUGUUGGACG